rnacentral:tRNA from 1 species
GGUGGCUCAGUGGUAGAGUACUUGCCUUGCAUGCAUGAGGCCCUGGGUUCUAUUCCCCAGCACCA